GGACGUUAGUUCUUUUUAGCAUGUAAAUCUUGCACACCAAGUGUUUGAUAAAAUCCCUAAAUGAACUUGACAUAAAGUGGGAGGUAUGAUCAAUUGGUUAAAGAAAAUUGUUAUAUGGCUUAUCGGGUAGGAAAAUUCUUAAGUAAACAAACAAAUUUGCUCAACGAGUGUGCUUAUUAAGAAUAAUCGAGGAAUUUAUUCUGAAUUGUCUGUAUUUUUCUAUUUGACAGUAGUUCCAAAGGAGCAAGGUGGAAGUGUUGACUUAGGAACCAAAUCCACAUAAAUUGGAAAUAAACAGGUGAUACACUGGUGUUUGGAUGGAUGUGAUCUGGAUACCAUGAUAUGUGCACAUUGAUAUGAUAUGGUCUCUCUCAUGUAAGAGGCAAGUAGGAGCAGUGCCUGUUGUCACCAAGAUCAGGAGCUAACUUGACUUGAAAAAGAGACUGAGAAGGAAGAUAAGAAAAAAUGAGUCAAGGCCUAGAGGUGACUCAUUCCAGAUAAGGGAAAAGAAAAAGCAGCAGAGUGAGCUGCUAAGUUGACAAAGACUCCACUGAAGUUUUUGUACGGGUAUUAUUUUAUGCCCAUGUAAUUUAGUUUGAUGUAAAUAUGAUAUUGUUUAAAUGUAUCUAUGUAGUAAAUGAGCAGUUGUACACUUAAAUCUGUAAUAAUAUUAUUUUUGAAUUUUGUUUCUGUAUAUUAAGGCUUAUGUAUGUAAAUUAAAUUCAAUGUAAUGUUAUUGAGUUUACUGAAUUAUUUUAAAAAUAUUUUGAG